UACGAAGGGGGCUAGCGUUGCUCGGAAUCACUGGGCGUAAAGGGUGCGUAGGCGGGUUUUUAAGUCAGGGGUGAAAUCCUGGAGCUCAACUCCAGAACUGCCUUUGAUACUGAAGAUCUUGAGUCCGGGAGAGGUGAGUGGAACUGCGAGUGUAGAGGUGAAAUUCGUAGAUAUUCGCAAGAACACCAGUGGCGAAGGCGGCUCACUGGCCCGGUACUGACGCUGAGGUGCGAAAGCGUGGGGAGCAAACAGG
rnacentral:rRNA from 1 species